AGCUCCAAUAGCGUAUAUUAAAGUUGCUGCAGUUAAAAAGCUCGUAGUUGGAUUUGUGGCGCGGUCGUCCGGCGGGGCUUCCGGUUUCAUAGUAUCCCGGGGCCGUUUGUCUGGGUUCUUGGCCGCCCCAUUCUUCGGUUGCGUGUCGCUGGCAUUAGGUUGUCGGCUUCUUCGCGCCGAUCGUUUACUGUGAAAAAAUUAGAGUGUUCAAAGCAGGCUUAGGCCGUUGGAUACAUUAGCAUGGAAUAAUGAGAUAGGGCCACGGCGGUCUAUUUUGUUGGUUUGCACGUUGUGGUAAUGAUUAACAGGAACGGUUGGGGGUAUUCGUAUUCAAUUGUCAGAGGUGAAAUUCUUGGAUUUAUGGAAGACGAACUACUGCGAAAGCAUUUACCAAGGAUGU
rnacentral:rRNA from 1 species